ACAUGAAGCUGGAAUCGCUAGUAAUCGUAGAUCAGCAUGCUACGGUGAAUACGUUCCCGGGUCUUGUACACACCGCCCGUCACACCACGAGAGUUUGUAACACCCGAAGCCGGUGGAGUAACCAUUUUGGAGCUAGCCGUCGAAGGUGGGACAAAUGAUUGGGGUGAAGUCGUAACAAGGUAGCCGUAUCGGAAGGUGCGGCUGGAUCACCUCCUUUCUAAGGA
rnacentral:rRNA from 5 species